ACACCGCCUUCUGGAGGGAGCCCAUGCCUUCCGGGUCGAGGAAUUGGGCGUGGCCCGCCGCAGGGAUGACCAGCAGCCACGAGGGCCGCCCGACGGCGUCAAAGAACUUCCUG
rnacentral:SRP_RNA from 15 species